UGCUGGAGGUAUCAGAAGUGCGAAUGCUGACAUAAGUAACGAUAAAGCGGGUGAAAAGCCCGCUCGCCGGAAGACCAAGGGUUCCUGUCCAACGUUAAUCGGGGCAGGGUGAGUCGACCCCUAAGGCGAGGCCGAAAGGCGUAGUCGAUGGGAAACAGGUUAAUAUUCCUGUACUUGGUGUUACUGCGAAGGGGGGACGGAGAAGGCUAUGUCAGCCGGGCGACGGUUGUCCCGGUUUAAGCAUGUAGGCGGAGGUUCCAGGUAAAUCCGGUACCUUUUAACGCUGAGGUGUGAUGACGAGGCACUACGGUGCUGAAGUGAUAAAUGCCCUGCUUCCAGGAAAAGCCUCUAAGCAUCAGGUAACACGAAAUCGUACCCCAAACCGACACAGGUGGUCAGGUAGAGAAUACCAAGGCGCUUGAGAGAACUCGGGUGAAGGAACUAGGCAAAAUGGUGCCGUAACUUCGGGAGAAGGCACGCUGAUGUGUAGGUGAAGCCCCUGCGGGUGGAGCUGAAAUCAGUCGAAGAUACCAGCUGGCUGCAACUGUUUAUUAAAAACACAGCACUGUGCAAACACGAAAGUGGACGUAUACGGUGUGACGCCUGCCCGGUGCCGGAAGGUUAAUUGAUGGGGUUAGCUGUAAGGCGAAGCUCUUGAUCGAAGCCCCGGUAAACGGCGGCCGUAACUAUAACGGUCCUAAGGUAGCGAAAUUCCUUGUCGGGUAAGUUCCGACCUGCACGAAUGGCGUAAUGAUGGCCAGGCUGUCUCCACCCGAGACUCAGUGAAAUUGAACUCGCUGUGAAGAUGCAGUGUACCCGCGGCAAGACGGAAAGACCCCGUGAACCUUUACUAUAGCUUGACACUGAACACUGGUCCUUGAUGUGUAGGAUAGGUGGGAGGCUUUGAAGCGUGGACGCCAGUCUGCGUGGAGCCAACCUUGAAAUACCACCCUUUAAUGGCUGGUGUUCUAACGUAGACCCGUUACCCGGGUUGCGGACAGUGUCUGGUGGGUAGUUUGACUGGGGCGGUCUCCUCCCAAAGAGUAACGGAGGAGCACGAAGGUUGGCUAAUCCUGGUCGGACAUCAGGAGGUUAGUGCAAUGGCAUAAGCCAGCUUGACUGCGAGCGUGACGGCGCGAGCAGGUGCGAAAGCAGGUCAUAGUGAUCCGGUGGUUCUGAAUGGAAGGGCCAUCGCUCAACGGAUAAAAGGUACUCCGGGGAUAACAGGCUGAUACCGCCCAAGAGUUCAUAUCGACGGCGGUGUUUGGCACCUCGAUGUCGGCUCAUCACAUCCUGGGGCUGAAGUAGGUCCCAAGGGUAUGGCUGUUCGCCAUUUAAAGUGGUACGCGAGCUGGGUUUAGAACGUCGUGAGACAGUUCGGUCCCUAUCUGCCGUGGGCGCUGGAGAAUUGAGGGGGGCUGCUCCUAGUACGAGAGGACCGGAGUGGACGCAUCACUGGUGUUCGGGUUGUCAUGCCAAUGGCACUGCCCGGUAGCUAAAUGCGGAAGAGAUAAGUGCUGAAAGCAUCUAAGCACGAAACUUGCCCCGAGAUGAGUUCUCCCUGAGACUUUAAGUCUCCUGAAGGAACGUUGAAGACGACGACGUUGAUAGGUCGGGUGUGUAAGCGCAGCGAUGCGUUGAGCUAACCGAUACUAAUGAACCGUGAGGCUUAACCUU
rnacentral:rRNA from 1 species